rnacentral:rRNA from 1 species
UACGUAGGGUGCGAGCGUUGUCCGGAUUUAUUGGGCGUAAAGAGCUCGUAGGCGGUUUGUCGCGUCGGCCGUGAAAUCUCCACGCUUAACGUGGAGCGUGCGGUCGAUACGGGCAGACUUGAGUUCGGUAGGGGAGACUGGAAUUCUUGGUGUAGCGGUGAAAUGCGCAGAUAUCAGGAGGAACACCGGUGGCGAAGGCGGGUCUCUGGGCCUUUCCUGACGCUGAGACGCGAAAGCGUGGGGAGCGAACCGG